rnacentral:rRNA from 1 species
AGGAUUAACGCUGGCGGCGUGCCUGACACAUGCAAGUCGAACGAGGCCGCAAGGCCGAGUGGCGGACGGGUGAGUAACACGUGACCAACCAACCUCGAAGUUGGGAAUAGCUCUGCGAAAGUAGGGGUAAUACCGAAUGUGGCCCAGGGCGGGCAUCCGCCUUGGUCUAAAGAUUCAUCGCUUCGAGACGGGGUCGCGGCCUAUUAGCUUGUUGGUGAGGUAACGGCUCACCAAGGCGAUGAUGGGUAGCUGGUCUGAGAGGACGACCAGCCACACUGGGACUGAGACACGGCCCAGACUCCUACGGGAGGCAGCAGUGAGGAAUCUUCCGCAAUGGGCGAAAGCCUGACGGAGCAACGCCGCGUGUGGGAUGGAAGACUCUAGGGUUGUAAACCACUGUCGGAGGGGACGAUCGUGACGGUACCCUCCAAGAAAGCCCCGGACUAACUACGCGCCAGCAGCCGC